AAGUUGGGUCUCUGAAAAUUGGUGUAGGUCACAAAUCCCAGAUGAGCCCACACAUGAAAGACCCCAGAAACUGGGGAGACCUCAGCUCAAGUCCCGGCAUGAGCUGGCCAGCACCCCAAUGACUCGAGAGAAA
rnacentral:pre_miRNA from 7 species